rnacentral:misc_RNA from 1 species
AGAACUUGUCGCAGCCUUCCUGCACCGUGACAAAGGACGAGAUGCCGCGUGCGCGGAUCAUCGCCGGUUUCGGAUCGGGCAACGAGGCGAACUUGUCCUCGACCGGGAACUCCGUCUNNNNNNNNNNNNCGGCCGCCGGUCUUGGCCUUAGCCAGCAGUUGCGGCAGAUGAUGAUAGCUCUGCGGGCCGACCACGACAUCGACGACGGGCGCGCGGCGGAUGAUCUCGCUGCCUUCGGCCUGCGCGACGCAGCCCGCCACCGCGAUCCGCAUCUCGCGCCCGUUGCGCGCUGCUUCGUCCUUGGCAGUGCGCAGGCGUCCGAGCUCCGAAUAGACUUUCUCGGACGCCUUCUCGCGGAUGUGACAGGUGUUGAGGAUCACAAGAUCGGCGUCGUCGGCAUUUGCCGUCUCGACGAAUCCUUCG